rnacentral:rRNA from 1 species
AUAUUUGGUAGAAUCAUAACCAUAGAAUACGACCCUAAUUGAAAUGCAUACAUUUGUCUCAUACACUAUGGGGAUGGUGAGAAUAGAUAUACUUUACAUCCCAGAGGGGCUAUAAUUGGAGAUACUAUUGUUUCUGGUACAAAAGUUCCUAUAUCAAUGGGAAAUGCCCUACCUUUGAGUGCGGUUUGA